rnacentral:tRNA from 1 species
GGCAAGGUGGCCGAGUGGUCUAAGGCGUACGACUCAAGUGUUAAAAAUCUAAUAAUGCUUGCCCUAGAGCAACUAGGGUGUCUUCGUAUGAUGAAAAUCGCGUGGGUUCGAAUCCCACCCUUGUCA